UAUAUAUAUAUAUAUAUAUAAAAUACAUCAGUAUCUAGGUGUUAAACACAUGGUUGUUAUUUAAAAACAUGUUUGUUUGUUUGUUUGUUUGUUUGUUUGUUUUCUUUAAACUUUAGUUUAAGCAUGCUACGCAAAAGUUUUUGCCAUAUGAACACACUGGCCAGUCACUUUAUUAGGAACACCAUACUAAUACUGGGGAGAACCCCAACCACCUGUGCUGUGAGAUUCUGGUCCAUGUUGACAUGAUUGCAGUACGCAGUUCUUGCAGAUUUUUGAGCUACACAUUCGGGCUGUGAGCCUCCUAUUCUUCCACAUCCCACGUAAAGUACACUGAAGUGAACUCGGUGUCAUGUUCAUGGAACCACUGUGAAAUGGUGCAUUGUGAUGCUGCUAGUACUCAUUGUAAAAUGGGUUUGUAAAACAAUUAUGGCCGUAAAUAGAUGCAUGUGGUCAGGAACAAUAUUCAGAUACUCAACAGUACUCUAGCUGUGGCAUUCAAGCAGCACUCGAUUGGUAUUCAUGAGCAAAGAAAGCAUUCCCCACAUCAUUACACCACCUCUACCAGCCUGAAGUGUUGACCGGUUGGGAUCCAUGGAUUCACACUGCUGACACCAGACCCUACCGUUUGAGUGCCUGCACAGAAACUGAGAUUCAUUCCAUUCUUCAGCAGUUUUGGUGAUCAUGUGUCCACUGUAAGUGUUCUUGGCUGACAGGAGUGGAACCCGAUGUGGUCUUCUACUGUUGUAGCUCAUCUGCCUUAAGUUUCAACACGUUGCGUGACCGUGUUCUGCUUUUCUGCUCACCACGGUUGUAAACAGUUGUUGUUUUAGUUUUUGUAGCCUUCCUGUCACUUCAAACCAAUCUGGCCAUUCUCCUCUGACUUCUCACAUCAGCAACAGACCUGCUGCUCACUGGAUGUUUUUUGUUUUCUUUUCCUUUUUUUCUGCACUUUUCUGAUCACCUGCAUGAUGUCAUGUAUUGUGUUGCUGCCACAUGACUGGAUCAUUGCAUGAAUGAGCACGUGUACAGGUGUUCCCUAAUAAAGUGGCCGGUGAGUCUAUAGUGCUUAUUUUAUUGCUUUUGGCUCAUUACUAAAACAGUGAACUAAUGUGAUUUAAAAAUUUUUUUAAGUAGAAUAAAUGAGAACAGCAUAGCAUUUACUGUAAAUGAGAAUUUAAGCAACUUAUUUCAGGUCUACAUUGCUAGCUUAAAGGGAUAAUUCACCCAGAAAUGAAAAUUGUCAUUAUUUACCCUCUCUCAUAUUGUUCUAAAACUGUAUGACCAACUUUCUUCUGUGGAACAACGAUGAUAUUUUGAGAACUGUCUCUGGGUUUUUUUUUUUUUGGGUGUAUACAGUGGAAGUCAAUGGGCACCAAAACUGUUUGGUUACCAACAUUCUUCAAAAUAUCUUUUUUUGUGUUCUACAGAAGAAAAAAAAAAAGCAUAGAGGUAUGUAAUGACACAAGGACGUCAAACUGUUAUCAGGUAAGUCAGCUGUGUUCGUCACUAUACAGUAGCUAAUGCUCAGAAGAAAAGUCUAUGAGCGAGAAAUCUGCAACACAGGGCUACAUGCAAACGCUUGAUUGUUUGUUUUGUUUUUUUUUUCCCCUUUAAUGUCCGGUUUUGUGUCAUUAAAAAAAGCACCUAGCCUACGCAGGCCAAUUCUGAUUUAACAUAUGUUUGAUUUCUAAUGUUCAAUAAGUCAGAGCUUUAGAAAACAAAAUGAUCACAAACUGAAUGUUUGUUUAUAUUCAGAUAUGAAUAUCAUGGGUAUUUAAUGGUUAGUGUUGUUCUACAUCUAUCCAGAUCAGACUGUUUCCACUCCUUAAAUAUCACGCAC
ensembl:lncRNA